UACGUAGGGGGCUAGCGUUGUCCGGAAUCAUUGGGCGUAAAGCGCGUGUAGGCGGCCUUGUAAGUCCGUUCUGAAAGCCCGGGGCUCAACCCCGGGAGGCGGAUGGAUACUGCAAGGCUCGAGUUCGGAAGAGGCGAGUGGAAUUCCCGGUGUAGCGGUGAAAUGCGCAGAUAUCGGGAGGAACACCAAUGGCGAAGGCAGCUCGCUGGGACGUUACUGACGCUGAGACGCGAAAGCGUGGGGAGCAAACAGG
rnacentral:rRNA from 1 species